rnacentral:rRNA from 1 species
CCUACGGGGGGCUGCAGUAAGGAAUAUUGGUCAAUGGACGAAAGUCUGAACCAGCCAUGCCGCGUGGAGGAUGAAGGUCCUCUGGAUUGUAAACUUCUUUUAUAUGGGACGAAAAAAGGCCUUUCUAGGCCGUCUGACGGUACCAUAUGAAUAAGCACCGGCUAACUCCGCGCCAGCAGCCGCGGUAAUACGGAGGGUGCAGGAGUUAUCCGGUUUAAAUGGUGUUAAGGGGGGUGGAGAAGGCAUUGGUGAAAUCUCCGAGCUUAACUUGGAAACUGCCAUUGAUACUAUUAAUCUUGAAUAUUGUGGAGGUUAGCGGAAUAUGUCAUGUAGCGGUGAAAUGCUUAGAUAUGACAUAGAACACCAAUUGCGAAGGCAGCUGGCUACACAUAUAUUGACGCUGAGGCACGAAAGCGUGGGGAGCAAACAGGAUUAGAUACCCUAGUAGUC